CAAGCCGAACGGCAGCACGGGAGCAAUCCUGGUGGCGAGUGGCGAACGGGUGAGUAAUAUAUCGGAACGUGCCCAGUCGUGGGGGAUAACGCAGCGAAAGCUGUGCUAAUACCGCAUACGAUCUACGGAUGAAAGCGGGGGAUCGCAAGACCUCGCGCGAUUGGAGCGGCCGAUAUCAGAUUAGCUAGUUGGUGAGGUAAAGGCUCACCAAGGCGACGAUCUGUAGCUGGUCUGAGAGGACGACCAGCCACACUGGAACUGAGACACGGUCCAGACUCCUACGGGAGGCAGCAGUGGGGAAUUUUGGACAAUGGGCGCAAGCCUGAUCCAGCAAUGCCGCGUGCAGGAUGAAGGCCUUCGGGUUGUAAACUGCUUUUGUACGGAACGAAACGGUCCUUUCUAAUACAAGGGGCUAAUGACGGUACCGUAAGAAUAAGCACCGGCUAACUACGUGCCAGCAGCCGCGGU
rnacentral:rRNA from 1 species